GUGCUUGCCUCGGCAGCAUAUACACUAAUAUUGGAAUGAUAUAGAGAAGAUCAGCAUGGCCCCUGUGCAAGGAUGACAUGCAAGUUCAUAAAGCGUUCCACAUUUUU